AACGGAGGGUACAAGAGUUAUCCGGAAUCACUGGGUUUAAAGGGUGCGUAGGCGGCUUGAUCAGUCAGGGGUGAAAGCCCGCAGCUUAACUGCGGCACUGCCUUUGAUACUGUCGAGCUUGAAAGAGGUUGAGGUCAGCGGAACGUGACAUGUAGCGGUGAAAUGCAUAGAUAUGUCACGGAACACCGAUUGCGAAGGCAGCUGGCUGGACCUACUUUGACGCUGAGGCACGAAAGCGUGGGGAGCGAACAGG
rnacentral:rRNA from 1 species